rnacentral:lncRNA from 1 species
CUUUCUCACAGUCUCAGAGGUGUCCUGUUAUUUACAAAAUAAUCCAAGAAAAUCCAUCCAAGGCUAAUGUAGAAGUAAAGCAUCAAGGUUUCCAGUCCUACUCAAAUGUCCGAUGAUCCUAAUGAAGAAAGGAUGGGUGGCAAGGGGAAGAGCUGAUACUCUUCCUGGGUUGUCCCUGAAUCUUGAAGAGGCAGGAGAGCAUCAGGGAAACUGAUAUCCCGAAGAAUUGAUCCUUUUGACCUGUGGUGUCGGAGAAGACUCUUGAGAGUCCCUUGGACUGCAAGGAGAUCCAACCAGUCCAUUCUGAAGGAGAUCAGUCCUGAGUGUUCAUUGGAAAGACUGAAGCUGAAGCUCCAAUACUUUGGCCACCUGAUGUGAAGAUCUGACUCAUUUGAAAAGAG